rnacentral:lncRNA from 1 species
AUGGCACAAGCCCUCCACAUGCAUCUUCAUUUUACACCAGCCCACAAGAAACAGCUCUCGCUGCCCCAGGGCUGUGCACGGCUGCAUGAACAGGAUGCAGCCACAGAACUGCUCCUGGAGUGCAGAGCAGGACGUAUGGAUGCGGGUGGUGAGAGCCAGCUGGUAUCCAGCUCAUCAAGACAUCAGGGGCAGGAACACCCUCAGGCCACAGGGACCCCUGGAGCCAAGUUAGGGCAGGUCUGUGAACCCUCUUCUGUGCCGCCAGGACCCCAGAGGAAGACUGUGGAAAGGGCUUCUGAGGCUGCCAUGGUGACAGCAGUCAUGGCUGUACCAACAAAACCAGCUGUGUGCACUGGGGAAGGGAUGCAAGGAGGCAGAUCUCACAAAGGAACCCCAAGAGCUCUUCGAGAGACGUGAGGCUUCCUGGCUGGAAUCAGGUCAACAGCCCGGACAAAGCCAGGGUCCUGGGCAAUGGGCAGUGCAGAGGAGGUCCAGGGGAGGAGUCCAAAGCUCCUGGACCCUGAGUCUUGAGUCUGGACAUCUGAACUCACCGCUCAGGCCUUCCACCCUGACUCAUGUCGCUCAUGGAGAAAAGCAGCCUUCAGUGCCCUGGGAGAGGACAGGCCUGUGGCUCUGGAGAGGGGACAUUCCAACUCCAGUCGUCCUGGAGAUGCAAGCCAGGCCGUACCACAGCAGCAAUCCCCUGCCUCUGCCAUUCACCACCAGCAUCCAUUAGGGCCCAGCAGAAGUCAUUCAAAGCAUGGUUGACUGGGACAACGCUGUCUGCCUCCCAUCAGCAAGGAUACCCCCAGGACACUGCAAAGGCACCAAUGUGGCUCAUGCCACCCAGGCUUCCUGUCACUUCUCAGCAGCAGCAUUGUGCUAUUAAAAAUGCAGCUCACCAGGCUGGAUCAUUUCC